rnacentral:rRNA from 1 species
AUUGAACGCUGGCGGAAUGCUUUACACAUGCAAGUCGAGCGGCAGCGCGGGGCAACCUGGCGGCGAGCGGCGAACGGGUGAGUAAUACAUCGGAACGUGCCCAGACGUGGGGGAUAGCCCGGCGAAAGCCGGAUUAAUACCGCAUACGAUCCACGGAUGAAAGCGGGGGACCGGCAAGGCCUCGCGCGUCUGGAGCGGCCGAUGGCAGAUUAGGUUGUUGGUGAGGUAAAGGACUCACCAAGCCUGCGAUCUGUAGCUGGUCUGAGAGGAUGAUCAGCCACAUCGGGACUGAGACACGGCCCGAACUCCUACAGGAGGCAGCAGUGGGGAA